rnacentral:rRNA from 1 species
CCCUUAGAUGUCCUGGGCCGCACGCGCGCUACACUGAGUGUCUGAGGUACGAGUCUGCCUGGUCCGGCAAGGUCUAGGUAAUCGCUAAAAGACACAUCAUGCUUGGGAUAGAUUAUUGCAAAUAUUAAUCUUGAACGAGGAAUUCCUAGUAAGCGCGAGUCAACAGCUUGCGUUGAUUACGUCCCUGCCCUUUGUACACACCGCCCGUCGCUACUACUGAUUGGAUGUUUAAGCGAGGUUCUCGAACUGCUAGCGACUUAGCUUCGGUGAGGUCGCAGUGUGGGAAGUGAACCUAGCUUUGGUGUCUAGAGGAAGUAAAAGUCGUAACA